AUUGAACGCUGGCGGCAUGCCUUACACAUGCAAGUCGAACGGCAGCACGGGUGCUUGCACCUGGUGGCGAGUGGCGAACGGGUGAGUAGUAUAUCGGAACGUACCUUAUUGUGGGGGAUAACGCAGCGAAAGCUGUGCUAAUACCGCAUAAUCCCUAAGGGGGAAAGCGGGGGACCGUAAGGCCUCGCGCAAUUAGAGCGGCCGAUACCUGAUUAGCUAGCUGGGGAGGUAAAGGCUCACCAAGGCAACGAUCAGUAGCUGGUCUGAGAGGACGAUCAGCCACACUGGGACUAAGACACGGCCCAGACUCCUACGGGAGGCAGCAGUGGGGAAUUUUGGACAAUGGGGGCAACCCUGAUCCAGCAAUGCCGCGUGAGUGAAGAAGGCCUUCGGGUUGUAAAGCUCUUUUGUCAGGGAAGAAACAGCAGCUCUAACACAGUUUGCGAAUGACGGUACCUGAAGAAUAAGCACCGGCUAACUACGUGCCAGCAGCCGCCGUAA
rnacentral:rRNA from 1 species